rnacentral:rRNA from 1 species
GACGAACGCUGGCGGCGUGCUUAACACAUGCAAGUCGAACGGAAAGGCCCUGCUUUUGUGGGGUGCUCGAGUGGCGAACGGGUGAGUAACACGUGAGUAACCUGCCCUUGACUUUGGGAAAACUUCAGGAAACUGGGGCUAAUACCGGAUAGGAGCUCCUGCUGCAUGGUGGGGGUUGGAAAGUUUCGGCGGUUGGGGAUGGACUCGCGGCUUAUCCGCUUGUUGGUGGGGUAGUGGCUUACCAAGGCUUUGACGGGUAGCCGGCCUGGGAGGGUGACCGGCCACAUUGGGACUGAGAUACGGCCCAGACUCCUACGGGAGGCAGCAGUGGGGAAUAUUGCACAAUGGGCGGAAGCCUGAUGCAGCAACGCCGCGUGCGGGAUGACGGCCUUCGGGUUGUAAACCGCUUUCGCCUGUGACGAAGCGUGAGUGACGGUAAUGGGUAAAGAAGCACCGGCUAACUACGUG